rnacentral:tRNA from 1 species
GUGCCCGUAGCUCAGUCGGUAGAGCACUUGACUUUUAAUCAAGUGGUCACAGGUUCGAAUCCUGUCGGGCAUACCA